UGGGGUGUAGCUCAGUGGCAGAGCGUUUGACUACAGAUCCCUUGGUUCAAAUCCAAGUACCCCCU
rfam:Pelodiscus sinensis unplaced genomic scaffold scaffold3312, whole genome shotgun sequence.